UACGUAGGAGGCGAGCGUUAUCCGGAAUUACUGGGCGUAAAGCGCACGCAGGCGGUCUGCCAAGUUCAGGGUGACAGUUUCCGGCUUAACCGGGAAAGGACUUUGAAAACUGGUAGACUUGAGAGCGAGAGAGGAACAUGGAACUCCAGGUGUAGUAGUGAAAUGCGUAGAUAUCUGGAAGAACACCAAUGGCGAAGGCAAUGUUCUGGCUCGUUUCUGACGCUCAGGUGCGAAAGCCAGGGGAG
rnacentral:rRNA from 1 species